UACGUAGGGGGCUAGCGUUGUCCGGAAUCAUUGGGCGUAAAGCGCGUGUAGGCGGCCCGGUAAGUCCGCUGUGAAAGUCGGGGGCUCAACCCUCGGAUGCCGGUGGAUACUGUCGGGCUCGAGUACGGAAGAGGCGAGUGGAAUUCCUGGUGUAGCGGUGAAAUGCGCAGAUAUCAGGAGGAACACCGAUGGCGAAGGCAGCUCGCUGGGACGGUACUGACGCUGAGACGCGAAAGCGUGGGGAGCAAACAGG
rnacentral:rRNA from 1 species